AGAGUUUGAUCAUGGCUCAGAGCGAACGCUGCGGCGUACUUACACAUGCAAGUCGAACGGGGAGCUUCGGUGUAGCAAUACAUUGCAGCUCCUAGUGGCGCACGGGUGAGUAACACGUGGGCAACCUGCCCUUGAGUCUGGGAUACCUCCGCGAAAGUGGGGCUAAUACCGGAUACGUUCCUCGGGUCGGAAGAUCUGGGGAGGAAAGGUGGCGAAAGCUGCCGCUCUUGGAGGGGCUCGCGGCCUAUCAGCUAGUUGGCGGGGUAAUGGCCCACCAAGGCGAUGACGGGUAGCUGGUCUGAGAGGACGACCAGCCACACGGGGACUGAGACACGGCCCCGACUCCUACGGGAGGCAGCAGUGGGGAAUUUUCCGCAAUGGGCGAAAGCCUGACGGAGUGACGCCGCGUGUGGGACGAAGGCCUUCGGGUCGUAAACCACUGUCAGUGGGAAAGAUGGGCAUCGGUGCGAUAAACGCCGGUGCUUGACGGUACCUGCAGAGGAAGCCCCGGCCAACUCUGUGCCAGCAGCCGCGGUA
rnacentral:rRNA from 1 species